rnacentral:rRNA from 1 species
GAUGAACGCUAGCGGCAGGCUUAACACAUGCAAGUCGAGGGGUAUAGGUUUUCGGAUCUAGAGACCGGCGCACGGGUGCGUAACGCGUAUGCAAUCUACCUUUCACAGAGGGAUAGCCCAGAGAAAUUUGGAUUAAUACCUCAUAGUAUUAUAGAAUGGCAUCAUUUUAUAAUUAAAGUCACAACGGUGAAAGAUGAGCAUGCGUCCCAUUAGCUAGUUGGUAUGGUAACGGCAUACCAAGGCAACGAUGGGUAGGGGUCCUGAGAGGGAGAUCCCCCACACUGGUACUGAGACACGGACCAGACUCCUACGGGAGGCAGCAGUGAGGAAUAUUGGUCAAUGGGCGCAAGCCUGAACCAGCCAUGCCGCGUGCAGGAUGACGGUCCUAUGGAUUGUAAACUGCUUUUGCACAGGAAAGAAACAACGCUACGUGUAGCGUCUUGACGGUACUGUGAGAAUAAGGAUCGGCUAACGUCCGUGCC